UGUUAAGAUAACACCGCUGAGAGGUAGAGACUGUUAAGAUAACACCGCUGAGAGGUAGAGACUGUUAAGAUAACACCGCUGAGAGGUAGAGACUGUUAAGAUAACACCGCUGAGAGGUAGAGACUGUUAAGAUAACACCGCUGAGAGGUAGAGACUGUUAAGAUAACACCGCUGAGAGGUAGAGACUGUUAAGAUAACACCGCUGAGAGGUAGAGACUGUUAAGAUAACACCGCUGAGAGGUAGAGACUGUUAAGAUAACGCCGCUGAGAGG